CCUACGGGAGGCAGCAGUGGGGAAUAUUGGACAAUGGGCGAAAGCCUGAUCCAGCAAUGCCGCGUGAGUGAUGAAGGCCUUAGGGUUGUAAAGCUCUUUUACCAGGGAUGAUAAUGACAGUACCUGGAGAAUAAGCUCCGGCUAACUCCGUGCCAGCAGCCGCGGUAAUACGGAGGGAGCUAGCGUUGUUCGGAAUUACUGGGCGUAAAGCGUACGUAGGCGGUUAUUCAAGUCAGAGGUGAAAGCCUGGAGCUCAACUCCAGAACUGCCUUUGAAACUAGAUAGCUAGAAUCUUGGAGAGGUGAGUGGAAUUCCGAGUGUAGAGGUGAAAUUCGUAGAUAUUCGGAAGAACACCAGUGGCGAAGGCGACUCACUGGACAAGUAUUGACGCUGAGGUACGAAAGCGUGGGGAGCAAACAGGAUUAGAUACCCUGGUAGUCCACGCCGUAAACGAUGAUAACUAGCUGUUCGGGCUCUACGAGCUUGAGUGGCGCAGCUAACGCAUUAAGUAUCCGCCUGGGGAUACGGUCGCAAGNUUAAAACUCAAAGGAAUUGACGGCUGAGACGNGCGAGACGACGACGAGGGAGAGG
rnacentral:rRNA from 1 species